AUUUAUAUAGUUUAAAUAAAACAUUAUAAUUUCAUUAUAAAAAAAAUUUAUAAAAUUUAUAAAUA
rnacentral:tRNA from 1 species